UACGUAGGCAGCAAGCGUUGUUCGGAGUUACUGGGCGUAAAGGGUGCGUAGGCGGCUUCUUAAGUUUGGUGUGAAAUCUCCCGGCUCAACUGGGAGGGUGCGCCGGAAUACUGAGGGGCUAGAGGUGUGGGAGAGGAAAGUGGAAUUCCAGGUGUAGCGGUGAAAUGCGUAGAUAUCUGGAGGAACACCGGUGGUGUAAACGGCUUUCUGGACCUUACUGACGCUGAUGCACGAAAGCGUGGGUAGCAAACAGG
rnacentral:rRNA from 1 species